CUUCUGGUUACCGAGAACCUCAGAUCGACUCUGAUUUUGCAUGCGGACCUGCUUCCUUGCUAGCAAGAUCUCCCAAAGCCUCAACAGUUCAUCAGUCCUCUGAUUACAAAGGGAAGGCAGAAGAGAGCGAAAACAACAGGGAUGCGUGUGGCUUCUCUCUCGCUCUCUGGUUUGAUGUAGCAGAGACUGUUUCAACUUGCGCCAGGGUUUCUGAAGUUGUGGUAGUUGAGCAGUAUAUUAUUUGCCUGGUCUAUUCAGAGCUUGGGUGCCCACGACUUGAUAGUCAAUAACAGAAAAGGAAACAGCAAUGGAAUACUACUUUAUACCCACGAGACUGGCAAAGAUUGUAGAACCCGAAAGUACCCAGGAAUGGCAAUGAUAUAGAGAAACAGGAGCCAUCAGGCACUACUGAAGGAAGGACAAACUGACUUCUGUGAUCAUUCUUGAACAAGGCUUUGCAGAAUGCAGUGAAAUUACAUACGUGUGUGUCUGACGACCCACUAGUCUCACUCCAAGGAAUACACUCCUGUGAGGACUUGUGCGUAUGUUCAAAAGAGAACAUGUCUGGAAAUGUUCAUCAUGCUGGUGUUUGAGGCAAUUGUGAGCUGGAGUUGGAGUAUCUAUCACUAGGGAAAUGGAGGGGUUGAACAAGGGCAAGGACUCUGUCUGGAAAGCAUUUCUGUGCUGAGUACCUGUCAGCUUGAGUCAGCCUUUACUGAAAGAGGGUAAUCAGACACCGUGGGCACAAACAGCUUGCCUGUCUGUACCUGUCCAGGUGAUCUCUUCCAUCUGGGAAAGAUAUCUGAGAAUACCAACAAGAUUCUCUUCAAGGGAAGAAAAUGCUUCUUUUAUAAAUUCAUCCAUAAACUCAGGGACGUGGGACUUCAAAGAACUUUCAUGGACUUGAGGAAAGGCUAAAAGUUUUUAUGAUAUAUAUCCUCCAUUCAAAGCUGCUAUAUAUACUGCCAUAUUCAUUGUAACAUUACUUUUUUUUGGAAUGUGGGUAUUCCCAUAUUAGUUUUUAAAAUUUUCAAUAU